AAGGUCAGCUUUGUUCCCGACGACAUCCAUAUCGACUUCAGCCAACUGGAAUUUGGGGAAACUCUCGGACAAGGUGCAUUUGGGCGUGUACUGAAAGCUGUUCUACACGAUACGUCAGGGGAAGAUCAAAUUGUGGCCGUAAAGACAGUGCAAGACACCUCGGACCCGAAAAAUGUG